rnacentral:rRNA from 1 species
AAGCCGUAAGGUGGAGCUAAUCCCUUAAAGCUACUCUCAGUUCGGAUUGUAGGCUGAAACUCGCCUACAUGAAGCUGGAGUUACUAGUAAUCGCAGAUCAGAAUGCUGCGGUGAAUGCGUUCCCGGGUCUUGUACACACCGCCCGUCACACCACGGGAGUUGGAGACGCCCGAAGCCGAUUAUCUAACCUUUUGGAAGAAGUCGUCGAAGGUGGAAUCAAUAACUGGGGUGAAGUCGUAACAAGGUAGCCGUAUCGGAAGGUGCGGCUGGAUCACCUCCUUUCUAAGGAGA